UUUUUCCCCAAAUUCCUACAAUUCUGUAUGUGAGCAUCACGCAGCUGGAGGUAGCUGACUCAGGGCGUUACAGGUGUUCUUUGGACAAACCUGUACAUCUGAAGUCAUAUGAGGAUUUUAAUAUCGUUGUCACGGAAGUGCCAAGUACACCAGCCUCCUCUGAACCCAGCAACCCAGCAGUUUCAGGUUUCCUCUUGGUUGUGGUUGUAUGUGUACCUGUGGUGGUGAUAGUUUUACUACUUUUUGUUCUGCUGCUCAUCUACAAAAAGAAGAGGGAGGACUG